rnacentral:rRNA from 1 species
UACAGAGGUCUCAAGCGUUGUUCGGAUUCAUUGGGUGUAAAGGGUGCGUAGGCGGCGCGGUAAGUCGGGUGUGAAAUCUCGGAGCUUAACUCCGAAACUGCAUUCGAUACUGCCGUGCUUGAGGACUGGAGAGGAGACUGGAAUUUACGGUGUAGCGGUGAAAUGCGUAGAUAUCGUAAGGAAGACCAGUGGCGAAGGCGGGUCUCUGGACAGUUCCUGACGCUGAGGCACGAAGGUCAGGGGAGCAAACGGG